rnacentral:rRNA from 1 species
GCGGACGGCGUGAGUAACACGUGGGUAACCUGCCUGUAAGACUGGGAUAACUCCGGGAAACCGGGGCUAAUACCGGAUGCUUGAUUGAACCGCAUGGUUCAAUUAUAAAAGGUGGCUUCGGCUACCACUUACAGAUGGACCCGCGGCGCAUUAGCUAGUUGGUGAGGUAACGGCUCACCAAGGCAACGAUGCGUAGCCGACCUGAGAGGGUGAUCGGCCACACUGGGACUGAGACACGGCCCAGACUCCUACGGGAGGCAGCAGUAGGGAAUCUUCCGCAAUGGACGAAAGUCUGACGGAGCAACGCCGCGUGAGUGAUGAAGGUUUUCGGAUCGUAAAACUCUGUUGUUAGGGAAGAACAAGUACCGUUCGAAUAGGGCGGUACCUUGACGGUACCUAACCAGAAAGCCACGGCUAACUACGUGCCAGCAGCCGCGGUAAUACGUAGGUGGCAAGCGUUGUCCGGAAUUAUUGGGCGUAAAGCGCGCGCAGGCGGUUUCUUAAGUCUGAUGUGAAAGCCCCCGGCUCAACCGGGGAGGGUCAUUGGAAACUGGGGAACUUGAGUGCAGAAGAGGAGAGUGGAAUUCCACGUGUAGCGGUGAAAUGCGUAGAGAUGUGGAGGGAACACCAGUGGGCGAAGGCGACUCUCUGGUCUGUAACUGACGCUGAGGCGCGAAA